GCGGGUGUGGUGGAAUUGGUAGACACGCUUGAUUUAGGAUCAAGUGUCGAAAGGCAUGGGGGUUCGAAACCCUCCACCCGUACAA
rnacentral:tRNA from 1 species